AAACUCCUUUUAAAAGGACAAAAGAUUUGAAUAAAUACUUUACAAAAGAGGAUAUACAAAUAACCACUAAGCACCUUAAAAGAUGCUUGUCAUUAGGGAAAUGCUGCUUAAAACCACAAUGAGAGACCACCACACACUCUCCAGAAUGGUUAAAAUUAAAACAACAUAUUAUCAGGUUUUGGUAAGAAUAGAACAGCUAGGCCUGCUUUACAUUGCUGGUGGGAGUGUAACAUGGUUCAACCACUUUGGAAAACUAUUUGUCAACCUUCUAUAAAGUUAAUGUAUUCUUACCAUCUGACCCAGAAAUUUCAUUUCUAGAUACUCCUUAAGAAAAUAAAAACAUAAACCACACAAAGACUUGUAAAUGGAUGUUUAUGGCACUUUCAUUUUAAUACCCCCAAACUAUCUAUAAUAGAAAAAAAUAAAAAUCAUUAUAUUAAUACCCCAAACUGUAAAAAAAAUCCAAAUGCCCAUCAACUGAUAAACAGAUAAGACAAUUGUGGUGUACAAUGGACUACCACUCAGCACUAGAAAGGAAUGAACUAUUGGUGUAUGCAACACAGAUGAUUUUCAAAAACAUUAUGCUGAGCAGGAAGCUGGACACAAAAGAGUAUCUGCUACGUGAUUCCAUUUAAUGAAAUUCUAGAACAGGUAAAACGAAUCUGUAGUGAUAGAAAUCAGAUCAGUGAUUGCCUAUAGCCUGGGGGUGGCAGGGUGCUGGAGAAGUACCAGGAAUUGACUGCAAAGGGCAUGAGGGAACUUCUGGGGGGUGAUAGAAAUAUUCUACAUCCUGAUUGCAGGAGGGUUACAUGAGUGUAGACAUUUGCCAAAUCUCAUCAAACUGUGCAUUUUUAAAAAAUGAAUAGAUUUUAUUGUGUGUCAAUUAUACCUCAGGAAAGUUUAUUUCUAAAAGUUUUUUAAAAGCAGAUCAUAGUAACAUUUGGUUAACAGGCAUAUUGAUUUAAUACAAUACAACUUUUUACUAAAUGCAGAGGGAACACAAUGAAUUAGACAUGGCCUUGCCUUCAUACACCUUUGAGACAAAUAGAUAUAUAGAUAAUUAUUGUACAAAACACACCGUGAGCAUAUCCUUUUUACAAUUUCAUAGUGCUAUAAAGGGACAAAACUUAGUUCUAGUCUUCCAAAAGCUUACAGAAAUAAUGUGGAUUCAGCUGCUGGGGGCAUGGAUUGGGGCAGGCCAUCCACCGUAAAACCUACAUACAACCAUGUACAACAAACCAUGAAACACGUCCACUCAGAUCCUACCUAUCAACUGUAAUUUAUAAUAAUCUGCAAAGUAUAUUUGUGAAAUUCUUUUUGAAUACAAAGUUAAAUAAUUUGGAAUUUUAAAGGUAGAAUUAAUAGAUAAUGAACCGAUAGGCAUUAUAUAUAUGUUUUUCUUUAUCAUACAAUUUUAUGGAGACAUUGGCAUGAUGGAGCAAGUGUGGGCUUUGGAGAAAAAGCUAAUACUAAUUGUAAUAAUAAUAAUAAUAAUAACCAGCAUUUAUGAGGGUUUACCAGGUGCCUAGCAGUGUGCUAAGAUCUUUGCAUGCUUUAUUGACUCUUCAUAAAUUAAUCUGUAAAGAAGGUAUUAUUAUUUUUAUUAUUACUAUCCAUUUACAGAUGAGAAAAUUGAAGAUUCAAUAGGUUAAGGAACUUAACUUUGCCCAAAUAUGCACAGCUUAUAAUUGACAAAGCCAGGAAUUGAACUUAAGUUUAUUGAUUCUGGAGCCCAAACUCCUAACCCACUUUACCACCUUAAAUUCCAACUUGGUAUUUAUUAAUUACAUGUCCUUUGGCAAGUGACCUACGGUCUUUGAGCCUCAAUUUUUUGUUUAUAGGGCAAGGUGAAUUUAUGAAAGACUUCUAUAAAAAUUAAAUAAUAUGAUUUAAGUUAAAUCACUUAGCACAGGAGGUCCCGUCAUGGCACAGUGGUUAACAAAUCUGACCAGGAACCAUGAGGUUGCUGGUUUAAUCCCUGCCCUUGCUCAGUGGGUAAAGGAUCUGGCAUUGCCGUGAGCUGUGGUGUAAGUUGCAGACUCAGCUCAGAUCCCAUGUUGCUGUGGCUCUGGUGCUAGUGGCUACAGCUCUGAUUACACCCCUAGCCUGGGAACUUCCAUAUGCCGUGGGUGCAGCCCUAAAAA
rnacentral:lncRNA from 1 species